rnacentral:rRNA from 1 species
GACUCCUGCGGGAGGCAGCAGUGGGGAAUAUUGGACAAUGGGCGCAAGCCUGAUCCAGCCAUGCCGCGUGAGUGAUGAAGGCCCUAGGGUUGUAAAGCUCUUUCACCGGUGAAGAUAAUGACGGUAACCGGAGAAGAAGCCCCGGCUAACUUCGUGCCAGCAGCCGCGGUAAUACGAAGGGGGCUAGCGUUGUUCGGAUUUACUGGGCGUAAAGCGCACGUAGGCGGACUAUUAAGUCAGGGGUGAAAUCCCGGGGCUCAACCCCGGAACUGCCUUUGAUACUGGUAGUCUUGAGUUCGAGAGAGGUGAGUGGAAUUCCGAGUGUAGAGGUGAAAUUCGUAGAUAUUCGGAGGAACACCAGUGGCGAAGGCGGCUCACUGGCUCGAUACUGACGCUGAGGUGCGAAAGCGUGGGGAGCAAACAGGAUUAGAAACCCGGGUAGUCCCAUGAU